rnacentral:pre_miRNA from 7 species
CUCUCCCCGCUGCUGAAAGACCCCCGAAGGGAGACCCUCACUCAAGUCUCAGGAUAAUAGUGGACCCCCAAGAACUCACGAGGGACC